CUGUCGUCUGAGUGUUUCAGACUAAACUCAGACGACACAUAAAUUAAAUGUGUUGUCUGAAUACAAUGAGAAACCAUGCUUGUUUCAUUUUGAAGAUAUGGUCAGACUCAGACGACACUUAAAUGUCGUCUGAAAAGAUGAAAAUUUUCUAUAUUGAACCCUAGCAGAAAUUUCAGACUUCCCUCCAACAAGUUUUAGGCUUUUCCCUCUCAAAUGCCCAAACCCUAUAGCUGAAUAGUCAAUAGAGUGAUAUUCAAACAACACAUUUAAGAAAUUGUGUUGUCUGAAUAAGGUAAGUUAUAUUUUUUUUCCUUUUCUUUUUGGCUUAGUUGCGAAAGACUUCGCGUUUUUUCCACGGCUCCUCUUUCUCUUUUCCCAUCUCUGCUCGUUCGCUCUCCCAUUCUCUUUCUCUCCUUUACCAACAAAAUCCCCUUUCUCUUUGUCUCCAUCUCUCCCAUAAAUUUCUUUCUCAAAACCCUGCAGCCUCCCCAGAUUCUCUCCGAAUCCCUACCCUUCAUCCAGAAGUUCAGGGCCAAGACCAGUGUAGUCAAGUACCACGGUGACGCCAUGAAAGAGAACACCGUCCAGGCCAUGGACGGCCUUACCUCUACAUCGCCUCCGCCUCUUCCUCUUCCUGCUUAACCCUCAGUUCAGAUCUAGUCCCCGGAAGGUUUUUCUCUGAAAGACAAUGUUUUUUUAAUUUGGGCUUUUAGGGUUCUUCUGGUUUUGGGGUUUUUCUGGAAGAUCUCAAUCAACGAAAGCCGUAAAGUUAAAUUUUGUGGAAAAUUUCUUCAUUUGCAGAUUACAAAGCUUAUAUUGAAGAAUCUUGGAUGGAUUCCGAUUCCUUCAAUAUUUCGUUGGAUUUUCUCUAUCACUGGAGAACCGAUCUGGUAUUGAGAGUUUGGUUUCACUUUAGUCCCUCCCUUCAGGUAUAUCUCUCACUUAUUAGGUUCUCUAUACAGUACACCAACGAAUUCAAUGUCACGGACUAGACCAUUAUCUUUAAGCAAGGAUAAAGAUAUGCCUCGAUUCAAUGAGUUGCAGUAUUGCCUACAACAUUUACCAAACAUGGUUUCGAUCGAUGUCACCAAAUCUUGCCUCUAUUCAAUUAGCCAGCCAAAUCAAAAGGGUAAUCACGAUUAAAUACGCUUGAAGGUGUGGAAGACGGCCGGGCAACUAGCUCGACCUCGGAGAUUCAUGAAGUUGAGCCUACGAUAAACAAAUGGGAAGCAUCUGGUUCCUCCAUUGCAUCUCAAGUCUGCAGUAAAUAGUGAGCAAGUUGCAAUUGCCAUAGAGAUAUGGAUCCUGGGAGCACUACUAGUAGAUUGGAAGAUGAAGAAGAUGAUAAGGGUAAUCCUAUGGCAUAGUUGCUGCCAUCUUUUACCGUUCUUUUCCCUAAUACCAAAUGCUUAUUCAAGGUGCUUUAACUUGUAUUGAGCUCUUCUCUGUUUAUUCCUCUGCAGUUCAUGGUUUCAAGUCACUCACUACAUCAAGAAUGGUUCCUAGAUUUACACACUACUACAGAAAACACUUUCUGGGACACCCACUAAUUUUUUUAAGGACGUCUUUUUUUACGGAAUGACUAUGAUAACUGGGUAUCAGGAUAUAUACGUUUAAUUGUAUCUCUUAUAGGGUCAAUGUUCAUUAUAUUUAUACAUCUGUAAUUGUAAACAUAGUUGGAACUUAGGAGAGAAAAGCAUUUAGUAAUAUUGUCUGAAGUUUAGUGUAAAAUUCUUGACUUUUUUUGUGUAUUUUAUUUUAUUUUUAGCCAUAAAUUUGCAAUCUUUGUUGCUGCUAUAUGCUUCUAUUUUUCUUUUCGUCAGUUUUCCUUUUACCUAUGAUGAAUUGCUUUUCUGCUGUUGUUUGUAAGUAUCCUCUUUCUCCUUUGUUCUUUUGCUUCUGGUUUUAUUCUCUAGUGUGCGAUGUUAAGUUUUAUUGGUAUUGCCGCAAUUGUUAUCAAGCAUGGUGAUGAUAACAAUUGCAGAAGUAGUGCUGCUUGCAUACUGUCAUGCAGAUUUAACUUUUCUCAAUCAUUUUCUUUUUAUAUAUCUGUGUAGGAUAGGAUGCGUAUGAAGACCAAUGCUGUGAUAAGGGUUCUCUCAUGCAAUGUAAUUCGGAAUCAAGGUUUCUAGUUGAAUACAGCUGCUGGUACCAUGUCUCCCUUUGAACAUGGCGAGUUUUUUGUUCUUGAUGAUGGUGGAGAGCAGCUAAUCAGAGUUUAAAAUAUCCAGCAGCAGUGUGAUGUGGCCAUUUAAAAGCUUUAUUAGGUGUUGGAAGUUGGAACUUCAUAAGAAGAACCGAAACAUGAUUUUCAAUUAAUGAGAUGAUAUGAAGACAUUGGUGUGAUGCCAGUGGUGUCCUCCAAUUUGGCUGAAAGAAGUGUACAGGUUUGCUGACUGCGGUGCAUAAGGACUACUCUACUAUAUAUAUGAUAUCAGAAGCAGGUGUCCAAUCCCAGCCUGAAGGAUAUGUCUGCUGGAGCAAAGGACAACUUCCAAAACCAGUUUUGGGCUGGAAACCAAGAUAGUGGCAGCAUCCAUUCCUUUUAUGAUGUCGCUGCUAAUCCAGAUUCGUAUGGCAAAGGCACCAGAUUUUUGAGACAAGUAGAACAAUGUAUAAUGUAGUUUUACUAUAUCUAAUGUAUCUAUAACGUAAUUUCGAUGUAAAUUCAACCAUAUCAAUAGUAUACCCGCAGCACCGCGCGGGCAUUUUGCCUAAUAGGAAUAUAAAUGUGACAUUUGAAAUACCAUGCAACCACUAAAUCAAAGUCAAAAUAUGUUGUUGGAGCUA